rnacentral:rRNA from 1 species
CCUACGGUGGGCUGCAGUGGGGAAUUUUGGACAAUGGGGGCAACCCUGAUCCAGCCAUUCCGCGUGAGUGAAGAAGGCCUUCGGGUUGUAAAGCUCUUUCGGCCGGGAAGAAAUCGCAUCUCCUAAUACGGGGUGUGGAUGACGGUACCGGAAGAAGAAGCACCGGCUAACUACGUGCCAGCAGCCGCGGUAAUACGUAGGGUGCGAGCGGUGAUCAGAAUUACUGGGGGUGGAUCAUGCACAGGGAGCUGAAAUCCCCGGGCUUAACCUGGGAACUGCGUUUGUGACUGGUGGGCUUGAGUGCGGCAGAGGGGGGUGGAAUUCCACGUGUAGCAGUGAAAUGCGUAGAGAUGUGGAGGAACACCGAUGGCGAAGGCAGCCCCCUGGGUCGACACUGACGCUCAUGCACGAAAGCGUGGGGAGCAAACAGGAUUAGAUACCCGAGUAGUC